GAGUGGCGUUGUGUGCCUGCGGUGAUCUUGUGCCUAUGGCAUUUAGCAUUUUUCAUCUUCGCAUAAGAGGCAGUAUGUACCAAUGGUGAGCUUGUGCCUACGGUAUCUUGCACUCUCGACGGUAUUUUGAGGAUUUGAUUAGUUAUCCCUCAUGCGUAAUGUUGUGUAUCUGCGACGAUCUUGUGCUUACAGCAUCUAGCACUUCUCAUCUUCGUAUGAGAGGCUGCGUGUGUCAGCGAUGAGCUUGUGCUUAGGCAUCUUGCACUCUCGAUGGCAUUUUGAGAGUUUGAUUAGUUAUCUGUCAC
rnacentral:lncRNA from 1 species